GACGAACGCUGGCGGCGUGCUUAACACAUGCAAGUCGAACGGAAAGGCCCUGCUUUUGUGGGGUUCUCGAGUGGCGAACGGGUGAGUAACACGUGAGUAACCUGCCCUUGACUUUGUGAUAACUUCAGGAAACUGGGGCUAAUACCGGAUAGGAGCUCCUGCUGCAUGGUGGUGGUUGGAAAGUUUCGGCGGUUGGGGAUGGACUCGCGGCUUAUCAGCUUGUUGGUGGGGUAGUGGCUUACCAAGGCUUUGACGGGUAGCCGGCCUGAGAGGGUGACCGGCCACAUUGGGACUGAGAUACGGACCAGACUCCUACGGGAGGCAGCAGUGGGGAAUAUUGCACAAUGGGCGGAAGCCUGAUGCAGCAACGCCGCGUGCGGGAUGACGGCCUUCGGGUUGUAAACCGCUUUCGCCUGUGACGAAGCGUGAGUGACGGUAAUGGGUAAAGAAGCACCGGCUAACUACGUG
rnacentral:rRNA from 1 species